AACGAACGCUGGCGGCAGGCCUAACACAUGCAAGUCGAACGCGCGUAGCAAUACGCGAGUGGCGCACGGGUGAGUAAUACGUGGGAAUCAACCCAGAGGUUCGGAAUAACCGCGGGAAACGGCGGCUAAUACCGGAUGUCCCCCAUGGGGGAAAGAUUUAUCGCCUUUGGACGAGCCCACGUCCGACUAGCUUGUUGGUGAGGUAACGGCUCACCAAGGCAAGGAUCGGUAGCUGGGCUGUGAGGACGACCAGGCACACUGGAACUGGGACCCGGUCCCGACUCCUACGGGAGGCGGCCGGGGGGUAUUUUGGGCCAUGGAGGCAAGUGGGAACCAGCCAUGGCGCGUGGGUGACGAAGGUCUUCGGAUUGUAAAUACCGUUCGGCGGGGACGACGAUGACGGUACCCGCAGAAGCAGCCCCGGCUAACGUCGUGCCAGCCGCCGCGGUAAAAC
rnacentral:rRNA from 1 species